rnacentral:rRNA from 1 species
GACGAACGCUGGCGGCGUGCUUAACACAUGCAAGUCGAACGGAAAGGCCCUGCUUUUGUGGGGUGCUCGAGUGGCGAACGGGUGAGUAACACGUGAGUAACCUGCCCUUGACUUUGGGAUAACUUCAGGAAACUGGGGCUAAUACCGGAUAGGAGCUCCUGCUGCAUGGUGGGGGUUGGAAAGUUUCGGCGGUUGGGGAUGGACUCGCGGCUUAUCAGCUUGUUGGUGGGGUAGUGGCGUACCAAGGCUUUGACGGGUAGCCGGCCUGAGAUGGUGACCAGCCACAUUGGGACUGAGAUACGGCCCAGACUCCUACGGGACGCAGCAGUGGGGAAUAUUGCACGAUGGGCGGAAGCCUGAUGCAGCAACGCCGCGUGCGGGAUGACGGCCUUCGGGUUGUAAACCGCUUUCGCCUGUGACGAAGCGUGAGUGACGGUAAUGGGUAAAGAAGCACCGGCUAACUACGUG